rnacentral:rRNA from 1 species
UGGGGAAUAUUGGACAAUGGGGGGAAACCCUGAUCCAGCAAUGCCGCGUGAGUGAUGAAGGUCUUAGGAUUGUAAAGCUCUUUCGGUGGGGACGAUAAUGACGGUACCCACAGAAGAAGCCCCGGCUAACUCCGUGCCAGCAGCCGCGGUAAUACGGAGGGGGCUAGCGUUGUUCGGAAUUACUGGGCGUAAAGGGCGCGUAGGCGGUUUGCUAAGUCAGGCGUGAAAGACCUAGGCUCAACCUAGGAGGUGCGUUUGAUACUGGUAAACUAGAGAAUGGUAGAGGAAAGCGGAAUUCCUAGUGUAGAGGUGAAAUUCGUAGAUAUUAGGAGGAACACCAGAGGCGAAGGCGGCUUUCUGGGCCAUUUCUGACGCUGAGGCGCGAAAGCGUGGGGAGCAAACAGG